rnacentral:other from 1 species
AAAUGCCUGCGGUGUUCGAGAAAAGAUGUAUUGAUCCACAAUAAUUAAAAGGGAGUUCGGAGUUUGAUUGCGAUAAGCGUAUUUCUUGGUUUUUGUCUAAGCGCAAACCGUUUUUAUGGAAAAGUCCGAUUCGCACAACAGAGCACCCACCUGCUUGAGUAGCGGGGUUAAUUAUUCUUAAUACGGCACAUGCGGGUAUUUU